AGAGUUUGAUCAUGGCUCAGAACGAACGCUGGCGGCAGGCUUAACACAUGCAAGUCGAACGCUCGUAGCAAUACGGGAGUGGCGGACGGGUGAGUAACGCGUGGGGACGUGCCCUGAGGUACGGAAUAACUGAGGGAAACUUCAGCUAAUACCGUAUGAGCCCGAGAGGGGGAAAGAUUUAUCGCCUUGGGAGCGGCCCGCGUCGGAUUAGCUAGUUGGUGGGGUAACGGCCUACCAAGGCUUCGAUCCGUAGCUGGUCUGAGAGGACGAUCAGCCACACUGGGACUGAGACACGGCCCAGACUCCUACGGGAGGCAGCAGUGGGGAAUCUUGCGCAAGUGGGGGCAACCCUGACGCAGCCAUGCCGCGUGAACGAUGAAGGCCUUAGGGUUGUAAAGUUCUUUUACCCGUGACGAUGAUGACGGUAACGGGGGAAUAAGCUCCGGCUAACUUCGUG
rnacentral:rRNA from 1 species